UUGGGUAAAUAGUCAAGUGGAAAAGUGAGUUUAUUCGCUUUAAGGAAGAUGAAAUCGAAUGCCAUUCAAGUCACAAAAAGUGAUAUUAAACCACCCACCGUGCAAGUCCGAAAAGGCAAUAUUAAACAACCCACCGCGACAGUCCAAAAAA